rnacentral:rRNA from 1 species
AUAUGACUGAGUGGCGGACGGGUGAGUAACGCGUGAGCAACCUGCCCUUCAGAGGGGGAUAGCGUCUGGAAACGGACGGUAAUACCGCAUAACAUAUAUUGAUGGCAUCAUUGAUAUAUCAAAGCUAUUGCGCUGAAGGAUGGGCUCGCGUCUGAUUAGAUAGUUGGUGGGGUAACGGCCUACCAAGUCGACGAUCAGUAGCCGGACUGAGAGGUUGAACGGCCACAUUGGGACUGAGACACGGCCCAGACUCC